UACGAGUGCCCCGAGCGUUAUCCGGAAUCAUUGGGCGUAAAGGGUGUGUAGGUGGCAUUGUUAGUCAGUUGUUAAAACCUGGGGCUUAACCCCAGUAGUGCGACUGAAACGGCAAAGCUAGAGGAUGGCAGGGAUGUAUAGAACUCAUGGAGUAGGGGUGAAAUCCGUUGAUAUCAUGGGGAAUACCGAAAGCGAAGGCAGUACAUUGGGCCACUCCUGACACUGAAACACGAAAGCGUGGGUAGCGAAUGGG
rnacentral:rRNA from 1 species